AUCUUUAAUGCGCUGCAAUAUAAUCUACAAGCGUGGCAGUGAUUCAUUAAUGUUUCGGAAUCCUUUUCUUAUAAGGAUUCCUUAUUCAUCCUAGCUACACAAGGAAAGAAGGGCUGGUGGUAUUUAAUGACAGAUUAGUUAUUUUUAUUAUUUUCUUUCAUGUUUGGGCUUAAUUAAAACUUUGUUUUGAGCUAGGGUCCAAGGCUUGUUUGGAUCAGGUUAUGGGCUUUUCAGUUUAGGGUUUCGGGCCAGUUUUGAGUGGACCUCAUAUAAGUCCACAUAAGAGGUCCAUUAGGGUUAAUUUUUCAAGAACUAUUUAAACUCAUGUAAGCCACAAUUUCGGCAGC
rnacentral:lncRNA from 1 species